CACGGAAGUUUUCAGAGAUGAGAAUGUGCCUUCGGGAACCGUGAGACAGGUGCUGCAUGGCUGUCGUCAGCUCGUGUUGUGAAAUGUUGGGUUAAGUCCCGCAACGAGCGCAACCCUUAUCCUUUGUUGCCAGCGGUUAGGCCGGGAACUCAAAGGAGACUGCCAGUGAUAAACUGGAGGAAGGUGGGGAUGACGUCAAGUCAUCAUGGCCCUUACGACCAGGGCUACACACGUGCUACAAUGGCGCAUACAAAGAGAAGCGACCUCGCGAGAGCAAGCGGACCUCAUAAAGUGCGUCGUAGUCCGGAUUGGAGUCUGCAACUCGACUCCAUGAAGUCGGAAUCGCUAGUAAUCGUGGAUCAGAAUGCCACGGUGAAUACGUUCCCGGGCCUUGUACACACCGCCCGUCACACCAUGGGAGUGGGUUGCAAAAGAAGUAGGUAGCUUAACCUUCGGGAGGGCGCUUACCACUUUGUGAUUCAUGACUGGGGUGAAGUCGUAACAAGGUAACCGUAGGGGAACCUGC
rnacentral:rRNA from 1 species